AUGCACUACGGUGCAGAAGUAGUUGAUGCCCUGCUUCCAGGAAAAUCCUCUAAGCUCCAGGUAACAUUGAAUCGUACCCCAAACCGACACAGGUGGUCAGGUAGAGAAUACCAAGGCGCUUGAGAGAACUCGGGUGAAGGAACUAGGCAAAAUGGUGCCGUAACUUCGGGAGAAGGCACGCUGGCAUGUAGGUGAAGUCCCUUGCGGAUGGAGCUGAAGCCAGUCGAAGAUACCAGCUGGCUGCAACUGUUUAAUAAAAACACAGCACUGUGCAAACACGAAAGUGGACGUAUACGGUGUGACGCCUGCCCGGUGCUGGAAGGUUAAUUGAUGGGGUCAGCCGCAAGGCGAAGCUCUUGAUCGAAGCCCCAGUAAACGGCGGCCGUAACUAUAACGGUCCUAAGGUAGCGAAAUUCCUUGUCGGGUAAGUUCCGACCUGCACGAAUGGCGUAAUGAUGGCCAGGCUGUCUCCACCCGAGACUCAGUGAAAUUGAACUCGCUGUGAAGAUGCAGUGUACCCGCGGCAAGACGGAAAGACCCCGUGAACCUUUACUAUAGCUUGACACUGAACAUUGAGCCUUGAUGUGUAGGAUAGGUGGGAGGCUUUGAAGCGUGGACGCCAGUCUGCGUGGAGCCAUCCUUGAAAUACCACCCUUUAAUGU
rnacentral:rRNA from 1 species